UAUUUUAGAUAUUUGGAAAAUCAUGAAGUUAAGGAAAUUAUUGUAUCUCGUUAUAUAUCUAACGUUCUGUUUUCAAGCAAACUGUAGUCUGGACAUAAAGAUACGAUGGGAAAAAUGUUAUUUUAUUUUUGAAGAUGAAGAAGAAUUCCAUUUUGAAAUAUUUCUCAACACAGCAAAGAUGGUGAUCUGGACAGUCGUACUACGGAGGAGGUUAGAUGCGAAUUGAUCGUUCAGGACCCAUAUUCAUCAAAAGAUUGUAGAUUAAACAUCACAGAGGAAGACUGCAUAAACAAAAAGUAUUCUUCUUGUGGUUAUUGUGAUCGGCGAAUGAGUUUCGGUUACUACAUCAUUAUGUCUUUCAAUAUUUCCACUCGUCUUUCUCAUUCUUUGCAAUGUUUCUGGAGAAACGAACAUAGUACGUUGGACAUACCUGGGAUAAGUAAGUCAACAAUUA
rnacentral:sRNA from 1 species